GCGGGACAGGAAUGGUUGGGCACAUUUCCUAUCACCUAAUGCAUCUGUUCACCUAGUAAUGUUUUCUGCACUGCACAGUACUGUACUGAAGAAUUUAUAAAAGGAUCGCCUAGCAGUUUAUUAUAGUGUACUGCUUACUGUACUAAGAAUGUGUGGCAUUUGCUUCAUUUGUGGCUUGUCAGUAUCACCACACGAGUUGGAGGAAAAGAUACUUCCAAGUUACUCUUUUCUUAGUCAUCGAGGCCCUGAUGCUUGUGGAAGGGAGAUUUUAUCCAUUAAUGAUGAGGUGACAGGAUUGUUCGAAGGCUGUGUUUUGUGGCUUCAGGGACAUGAGCCAACACCACAACCACUUGUAGAUCAGUAUGGAAAUAUCUUGCUGUGGAAUGGUGAUAUUUUUGCAGGCUUUGAGAUUCCAGGGGAUCUUAGCGACACAAAAUAUAUAUCUGACUAUUUGGCUACAAAAAACGAGGAGGAAAUUUCAUCCUUCCUGGGGACUAUAAAAGGUCCUUGGUCACUUAUUUAUUACCAGAAAGAAACAAAAAAGUUAUUUUUUGGGAGAGAUGUCUUUGGCAGACAUAGUUUGGUUUGGAAACUGCCUUCUGCAACUUCAUCAGUGUUCCAGAUAACAUCUGUCUGUCAGCAAAAUGAAUAUGUAAAGGAAAUUCCAGCUUUUGGACUUUAUUUUGUUGAUUUUUCUGAAACUAAUUUAAAAAAAGGAUUUACAGUUAAUUUAAUUCCUUGGUCACAUGUGGCUGAAGAAAGUCUUUUGUCUCUGGACUCUGUGAUAAAUGUCAAAAAGCACACAAUAGUUUCAAGUGUGCAAACUUCUCUGAAUAUGUGUAUUCCUUCAGAUAUUGUCAUAGAGCAAUUCAAGUCUUUACCAAGUUCAUUAGAUAAGGAAAAUACAGAGAGAUUAUAUUUAGCUCUUACAGAUAAUAUUGAAAACCUGAUAAAAGUAUUAACAACCUCUGUCAGGAGAAGAGUCGAGAAAAGUCCACCAAAAUGCCGCAGUUGUACAAACUCUCCAAUAACGUGUAACCAUUCAAGAAUUGCAGUGCUGUUUUCGGGAGGUUUGGAUUCUGCAAUGCUUGCUCUUCUCUUAGAUUCUUGUUUGUCAGAAUCGGAAAGUAUUGAUCUAUUGAAUGUGGCAUUUCUACAGAAACCUCUAAAUAACAAAGUUAAUAAAAAAAAUAAAAAAAAUGAAGAUAAUUUACUUAAGAACUAUGAAGUCCCAGACAGAAUUUCUGGGAGACAGUGCUGGCUCCAAUUACAAGAGUUGAGACCUUCUAGAAAAUGGAAUUUUGUGGAGAUAAAUGUGACGGGUGAGGAGCUGGCACAGAAGAGAGAGUCGGACAUUCGUCACUUGGUUGCCCCAUUAGCAUCAGUUCUGGAUGACAGUAUUGGAUGUGCACUUUGGUUUGGUGGUCGUGGCCAUGGGUUCCUCAGGGGAGCGCCUUACACCUCACCAGCUCGAGUUCUCUUGUGUGGAAUGGGGGCUGAUGAACAGUUAGGGGGAUAUUCUCGUCAUCGUGGAUGCUUCGCAGCCGGGGGCUGGUCGGCCCUGUUAGAAGAAAUCAGCAUGGAGAUCUCUCGGAUACAUACUAGAAAUCUGGGCCGAGACAAUAGGAUCUUGACUGAUCAUGGACGUGCUCCAAGAGCCAGAUCGAACGUGCCAGGUAUUUGUGAUCAUCCCAUGACCUAUCGGGAGCAGAAGAAGCUGAGGGAGUCGGAAGAUACCACAUACCGAGGGGAACCCCUGCCAAAAUGGCUGAAAAGGGGGGUCGUAAAAACUCAAAAUGUGCUUAGAAAAAGAGAUAUGUUGAAUACAAAUUCAUUCCAAACAAAACUCUAAACUAUCUCGAUACCACUUCACCACCACCACCUCCUGCCACCAGAUGGUACCGCUAGUCAAGCAGAGGCCAGUUGAGCCCACCACCACCAUCACACUCAUGCCUGAACUACUCCUCUGGAACCUAUGAUUGUGCAGGGGAAUAAUGGAUAAAGGGGAACCACUGAGUGGCCACCAGAAAGAGAUGUUUCAUUAUACUCUCUUCUAUUUCUGGGGUGGCACCCUCGGUGACUUCCCAGAGCUUAUAUUCCCCACUGUGCCUCACGUGAAUAAUCUACAGAAUAACAUCAUAAGACAGAAACUUGAUAUGGGAAACCAUGCAUAAUUAAGAGAAAAGGAAGCUUGCCUAAAAAUGUCGAUCCCCCUGGAUGUCGGACCCAGAUAAACAUUAAGAACAACUCGAGCGAAUUAUGUUCCCCAAAGGUCCACAGUUGCACUGAGGUUGAGGUGUAGCCAGGAAGGCACCAGACAUCUAACUGAGCAUUGUGAAACCAUGAGUAUGAAUAAUGGCUGUCAACAUGUUGUUAAAGAAUGUUGCCAGUGCUGCAAACAUAUAGAGGUUAGGAUGAUGAUGAAGGAAAGAAGUUGAUCAUAAGGAUCACCCUGCUAAAAAUCACUGAAAAACAAGUGAAGGAGCAGGGAAGAAGAAAUCAAAAGUUAAAGAAUAGAGCUACUCCACGAGCAACUAGAGUCACCAGUGGAAGCGGUAAAAACCAAAGAGCUUUGUCGAAAACAAGCAAUCAUUUGUGGCAAGGAAUGAACCAGAAUCACCAGACCAAAAAAUGAAGAGAAGCAUAGAUUGCCUAACCCAUAAGACUGCUUAACACAAGAUGAAACCAGAUAGCUAAUGUUGAAGGCAUGACUUUAAACAAGUGAGAGGAUAAGCAUGCAAGAAUUCAGACAAAAAAAAUUAUGGCUCUGGAGGAAUAUUAAAGCCCUAACAUAGUACUGUAAGUAGAGCUGAUGAAAAGAUCACAAUAAUGGCAAUGAAGAGAAACACAGCCUAGGCCAAAUGAGAGGUUGAAACCCUAUAUGGCAUAAGACAAUUGACAGAGUGGUAGAUGCUAAUCUCAAAGGAAGGUGAAGCCACAGAGAAAGAACCUGAUGGGGUCAAUAUGCAAGACUAGCUAAGAAGAACAUAAUGAAUCGGCUACAGUGUAGACAAAAUAAACCUGAAAAGCCUGAAAGAGGACAAUGCACAGAAACCCCAUGCAAAAGGCAUCCACCUUGACUCCAUGUCGGGGCAAACAGAUCCACCUGCAGCCUUGCAAAACCACAGAAAAGAAUUCCUGCUUAACACCCCCUCUGACAUAAAUAGAUGGAAAUUGAAGAGCUCAACAAGGAGAAUUGAGGGCACAAAGUGAACCAACAGCUAUUUACUGCUGCACUCAGCUACAUGCCUAUCACAAGCAGAGAGAACCAUAUACUCCUAUACAGGUAGGCAACAACUGAAGACCAAGCUUCAGUCCCAAACAGAAGUACCAAAACACAGCUUAAACAAUGGAGAGGACUACAAAAGAAUCUGUCUUUCAAUCCUAAAAUAACCCUGACCCAGUCUGACACUGGACCAGCAUCAGCUUAGACUUCCAACACUCACCCAGAGGCUUUGUGUGGUAUCACUGGAUGAUCUAAAACCUCUGCCAGAUACACACAAACUGAGAGCUUAAACUAAUCGGACAUUGAGAAGAACCUCCUAAGGAAACCUGGUGGAAGACUGGAAGCAAAGCUGGGGUCAAAAAGCAAGUGCCAAAUGGAGACAUUGAGGUGAACUUCCAACUCCAGCCAACCCAAGGACUGAAAUUGGCUCAGAAUAAGCUAAGAGAUACAUUGCAUAACCAGGGAAACGAGCCAAGAACAAACCAAAAUCAAGAAAACCUGGGAUGUAACUGAUAAACAGGACAAUUCUCAAGAAGGAAGGAGUGAAAAUAGUAUUUCUUGAUUGAAUCCCAACCAAGAAACUGCCAGCUAAGAGGAAGCCUGGAUCACAACCACAAAGGCAGAACGCAGAAAAUGAGAAUGAACUCUGAACCAAAUCAGUGCAUUUUGCCACCUUUGUGACAGUCUGCCCUCUCUUGCAGGUUUCCAUACUUAGAUGAAGAUGUUGUAUCUCUUCUCAACUCGCUCCCAGUCUGGAUAAAGGCUAACCUAUAUUUGCCACGUGGAAUAGG